UUACUGUACCUGGCAGGGGAGAUACUAUGAUCACAAAGGUGAUUUUCCUAGGGUGAGGCUCAUCCAUUGCACUCCAGCUAUGCUGACCCCUGCCAUUUCCCCAAAUGUGGGAAAGUCGACUGCAUAAUUUGUGAUACAGGCAGUAAAGGUUGGUGUCCCUU